rnacentral:rRNA from 1 species
AUUGAACGCUGGCGGCAUGCCUUACACAUGCAAGUCGAACGGCAGCGACGGGGGCAACCCUGGUGGCGAGUGGCGAACGGGUGAGUAAUACAUCGGAACGUGCCCCGUAGGCGGGGGACAACCAGUCGAAAGACUGGCUAAUACCGCAUACGCUCCACGGAGGAAAGCGAGGGGAUCGCAAGACCUUGCACUAUGGGGAGCGGCCGAUGCCCGAUUAGCUAGUUGGUGAGGAAAGGCUCACCAAGGCAACGAUCGGUAGCUGGUCUGAGAGGACGACCAGCCACACUGGGACUGAGACACGGCCCAGACUCCGUACGGGAGGCAGCAGGUGGGGUAAUUUUGGACAAGUGGGCGCAAGCCUGAUCCAGCCAUGCCGCGUGCGGGAAGAA